GGAGCUGCAUACAGUAAUGAGGAAAAUAAUGAAUAAAACAAUAUAUAAUAAUCAAUAAAAUAAAAGUUAAGAGACUGCCUUUGCAUAUAAAUAAAAUAAUAAAUGAAUGAAGAAGUGACUGAAAGCACACAGGGAUAAAAGAGAACAAAGAGCUCUCUGAUAUAAGAUAAAUGUUAUAUAACUGUGACAUUGUGAGUAAGCUGUGUAACAAGAGUCCCCACACAUGACCCCCGACACAAUGAAUAAUAUUUCACUCUAACUGUUUUUCACAAUACUUUUCUGUAGAGAGCUGAAGAGGAAAGUGGACCAAAGGAAAUGACACGGCGAGAAAGUGAAGUCAAUUCUGCCGUGUCAUGUUCCAGAAGCUGCAGGAAGCUCCGACUCCACGGAGACCACCGACACACGUAAACCAGCAGUGAAGAGGAAGAGGUCAGAGGAAAUGGAGGAAUCCGUGGAGGAAACUCCGGCUGAAGAGGAGGCGAAGAAGGACAACAGUCAACAGGAACACAGUGAGCAACAGCCUGAAGAAGACAGUGGUGAGAGAAAACACACACACACACACACACACACACACACACACACACACACACACAUGUCCUGGAAGCACCAUAUAUCAGUAAUAAUUGUAGUUACAUUUAUUUUUCACUUUCUCUCAGUGCUUUUGCACUUUUGAAUGGCCUUGUUACUGAACUGUGAAUAAAUAUAUAUAUAUAUAUAUAUAUAUAUAUAUAUAUAUAUAUAUAUAUAUAAGCUUUCCUUGUUCUAUUGUAGAAACAAAAUAACAUUUUCUGAGUUAGGAGGAAACUGAAACUGAAUCCUUACAGUCUCUAUUGUUGUUCAUCUUUUUCCAGGUUGCUCCCCUUCAGCGAGCCAGGCAGAGAGUGAAGAAGAGAUCUGCUGCGAGAAGAAAGCAGACGAUGUUGAGGAAGAGGACCAAGAUGCGCCUCCAAAGAGAGCCGGUCGGAGGGGGCGGCCGUCCAAGUCAGCGGCAGCCACCGAGGAUCCAGAUAAAAAGGCCAGGAAGGCAGAAGAAAGCGAGCAAAAUGAUGAAGAGGAGGACGAUGAUGGUGAGAAAGAAGAGGGGGGAAAAGGAACCGCAACCAGAGCGAAGACACGGUCAGCAGCUCGCCUGGAGGCUGAAAGGAACAAGCCAAGUAAACCGUCCACCCGGGCAAACCGACAGAACGGCAAAGAGGAGACCGCAGCUGGCACACGCGGGACGAGGGGCCAGGCGGCAGCGGCGGUGUCGAAGGGGGGCCGUAAACGGGAGGCUAGCCCCCCUGCGGUGCGAACGCGGGGAGGACAGAAAUCAGAGGAGCCCCCUUCCAAGAGAGCCAAACGCUAAAACCUCACAGCUUCGCCCCAGCAGCGCUUUCUCUGCACUCCAUAUUAAAGUCAGUUUUGUUGCCAGCGAGCGUCUACGGUCAGUUAGCAUGUAAAGCCCUUUCUGCUUCAUUGACCGUAGAUAUGAAGAAGCUCUGGAUAGUAUUACACUCUCUCCUCUGAUAGUCGAGUGUAAACCUGAGGAUCUGUGCAGGAAUCCCCCCGGAAUACCUUCUACUGCACUACGCCCAUAUGGUUUGGAUCAGACUUCAUCAUCCCGCCGUUUAUUCAGUAAUGCCCCGAGAAUCAGAGCGUUUCAGCCCAAUCAAAGGCCUAACGUGCAGCCGAGUCCAGCUUUCACAUAAAGAGGGCGAAUUAAAAUCAGAGUGCGUCUCAGUUCCCGCUGAGACUGUUUGUACAUCCAAACACUUGUACAUAGAAAUCACUGUGAGGCGUCUUAGCGCUCAUUGUGAAUUUUAUUUUUUAAUAUUCAUUCUGUGAAUGAAGGGAGAAUUUUCCCUCCCACUUUUUUUAAGUUUUUGUUUUUAUACUUAAUACUCAGAAGGUAAGGGUCUUUUUUUUUUUUUUUUUUUAUAUCAGCAGUAUUAAACAGUAUUAAACCGUUACUUAAUGUCUUCUUCAUGACAUUUGUAACAACAAAUAUCUUUUUCUUACUGUCUGAACUGAUUAUUUGUAUCGUCUUAUAGUUAACUGUAUAUCAAUACGAUGGUGUGUUGCCGACCUGUCAAUGUAAAGACUUUGUUUUCAUAAAUGUAAAAAGACUUAAUAUUGUUUCCCUUUUUAUUGUUUCAAGCAACUUCACACUUCUUUUUUUUUUCAACAAAACUUUUUCUAAAAUAGAAACCAAUGAAAGCAAACUGCUCUCUUAUUAUUUUUAAGUGAGGUUUCACUUUUUCAUUUUUCUACUCUCGCUUGUAAAUUCCUGGAUCUGGU
ensembl:lncRNA